UGCGCAGGCGGAAUAAUAAGUCAGUGGUGAAAUCUCCCGGCUCAACCGGGAAACUGCCAUUGAUACUGUUGUUCUUGAGUACAGUUGAAGUGGGCGGAAUGUGUCAUGUAGCGGUGAAAUGCUUAGAUAUGACACAGUACACCGAUAGCGAAGGCAGCUCACUAAGCUGUAACUGACGCUCAUGCACGAAAGCGUGGGGAUCAAACAGGAUUAGAUACCCUGGUAGUCC
rnacentral:rRNA from 1 species